CGUGCCCCAGUCCGAGCGCUCCGCCGCGCACGCCGGAAACUCCACCACCCCGCCGCUCUCGUUUCCGCCGCCGCCGCCGCCGCCGCGCGGGCGCAUUUUCCGGCAGUCGGGAGUCGGGAGUUGCGUCGGGGUCGGAGUGUAGGCUCUCCGCUCUUGCUCGCUCGGAGCUGUCCUCGCCUGGGCUCCUCUCUCUCCUGGGCUUUAAAGGCACUGGGGAGGUGUGCGGAGGAAGCCUCUGGUUCUCUGCGAGAGAAGCGAAGCCCGCGGUGAGGCGUAGCCGUGUGCCCGGGUCGGGUCGGAGACUCGCUUUGCCCCUGGAUGCUCCACUCCAGGGCAAGUUCAGCGUGGGUCUGAGGCCUCGUGGCGCUCGUGCUGUUUUACUGAUAAUUCGAGUGAUUGAACGUCUCAGUGAGGUCUUAAUGGCCGACCCUUGCUUUUAAGCCUCCGCUGUUCAUCCGGAUCACAGUAUGGCUUAGAGAAAGAAAUGCUGUGCUUUUUUCUUGGAUUGUGUACGGAUUAAAAACAAAAUCUGGUUUCGCAGAAAAUGUGUAAAUGCAAAGGAUGACCAAGGAGGGCAUUCAUACUCGAAUUUUCAAACGGAGACUUUUAGUGCAACUAGCAAACAACUGGGUUCCUUUUUUCUCUCUCUCUUUUCCAUUGACUUUACCUUCCAUGCUAUCUGCAGUGUUCUAAAUGCUUGGAAAGCCUCGAGCAACUAAUAAAAUUAAGGAGCUUUGAGAAAAUGCAACAGUUUUUGAUUUCUCUUUAAGGGUAUUUAAAUUUAAAGCCAUGAGAUUCUGUGGGGAUAAUGGUCUUAAAAUGAACACAUUAGUACCGGCUGUUGCCAGGCACUGUUAUGAGGGCUUUGCAAAUAAUUACUUAUUUAAUCCUCACAACAGUCCCACUAGGAGAAUAGCAUUAUCCCCCUUUUAAAGAUGGUGGGCGAAGUAGCGUUUAUUGUGAAGUAAAUGGAACCGCUGGAAUCCAAACCCAAAUGAGGCAGAGUCUGUUUUUAACCACUGUCUAUACUAAAGGUGAUUUAAAACAGGUAGGUACAACUUUUGUACAAUGCUUUAUCUAGAUACUUUGGUUCUGAAAAUACAUGACAAUCAAGGCAUUAAUCUGACAGGCAGACAAUGGCCUUUUAUGGAGUCCAAAGGGAGUGUGAUGAUACAUUAUUACAUUUAUUAUAUGGAAGAGCAGCACCACCACACCCAGCCGAGUAACUCUGUAUGGAACAACCGGUUUAGGAAAUGUCACUCUUGACUGUCUAGAGUUCUACAGGAACAGUAGAGGACACAUCUUUUUAAGAGUUUAAAAUAUUUUUUAUUUGCAUUUUCUUCAGUGUGUUUCCCAAAGCCUAACUUCUAUUCAAAAUGUACUUUUAAGAUUCAUCUUGAGGAUAAAUGAGGCUCUCUAAAACAAGAUGCAAUACUAAUCAACAGAUAUUGACAGAUGUUGAAUUCCUGAUAUGUGCCUGAUAUAUGAGAGAAAUAGUCACAGUCCCUGUUUUCAAAGUGUUGAAAAAUAUGGUAAAGGUGGCAGUGGAGUCAAAGAAAAACAUUCAAAGCAGCUUUGGUGAGUUUUCCCACAAAGCUGGAUGAGGAUGGAGACAGAGCAAAAUCUGUAUAAAGAGAAUUAAAUUACAACAGAGGUGUGAUAUGACACUAACACGUCACAUUCUCGUUUUGGAAAAAUGUGUUUGGGGCUGUGUCUCUUUACAGAGUAAGUAAAGCAUUAGAGAUCUAACUCCUGAUAAUACAUGAUGUAACUUUUUGUUGGCAAAGUGAAGAUUUUAAUUUGAGUUUGUCCUUAAAAAUAGCUACUAGGUUUGUUAAUAUAUAUGUAUAUUUCUGAGUCUUUUUUCUGCCACUCAAUAUCAGUUAGGUCUCAGAGGACAUUUACUGUGAAAACUGAAAACCCUGAGGAAAUCAGCUCUUCAGUGGUUUUCAAAUAUUUUAGUAAGAAAUUUAAGAGUAAUAUACUCAAGAUUCUCAAAAUAACAAUAAUAAAUAUACAGAGGGGAGAUAAAACAAAUGUGUUAAACUGUUAGCAAUUGGUGAACCUAGGUGGAAGGUAUAUGGUGUUCAUGGUAUUGCCCUUGUAACUGUUCCAGAGCUUUAAAUUUUUUCAAAAUAAAAAGUAGAAAAUGGAAAAAAAGCUAAAAAAUUCUUAUUUGUGUGGGUGAAGAACUGGAAACACACUGAAUGUUCAAUGGUUGGGAAAUAGUUAAGACAUCUUAAAACAUUUGUUCAGUGGAAUAUAUAUGUCCAUUAUAUGAUGAUGACAUGUGAAAAUGCUUAUGAAUCAAUGGUGAAUGAAAAUGGCAGGCUAUAAAACUUUAUACGGAGUAGGAUCUCAUUAUAGUCGGAAAAAACACACCUUCCAAGAACUAAAAAUAAAAUCUACCAAGAUGUUAAUCUCUAUCUACGUACUUGUAUUGUGGAUGAUAUUUAUUUUCAUUGUGUUUUUAUGUGUUUGUAUUUUCCCCAAGUUUUUAUUAUGAAAUUCUUCAAACAUUCAGAAAAUUUGAAAGACUAAUACAAUGAACAUCCACGUGCCCUCUACUUAGACUCAACAGUUGUUAGUUUUCUCAUAUCUACCCUAUCUAUAUCUAUCUAUAUGUAUCUAUGUAUCUGUCUAUCUACAUUUGGAGUUGGCAAACUAAGGCCAAGGCCAAAUCUUGCUUAUCACCUGUCUUUGUACAACACUGAUAAAUUAAAGAAGGGUUUUUACAUUUUUAAGCAGCAACAUUUUAACUAGUUAUACAGUUAUCUACAAAAUAUCCUUGAUUUUGUCUUUUGGUCUAUAAAGCCUAAAACUGUUACUGUCUGGCCCUUUACAGAAAUAUUUUGCCAACCCUGGAUCUACACACACACACACACACACAGACACAGACACAGACACAUAUACAGUUUUUGCUGAAUCAUUUGAAAAGCAAGUUGCAGACAUUAUAACAUUUCUCCUUCAAUUACUUCAUUAAUGCAUCUCCUAAAAAUAAUACUCUUACUUAAACAUAAUACUGUUAUCUCACCAAAAAAAUGAAGAGUUAUUUCAUAAUACCAUAAAAUACCCACCCAUAUGCAAAUUUGUGUGACUGUGUUUGCAAACUUUACAAAAUGAAAAUGCAUAACUUUAUAACAAUAAAAAAAUUUAAAAACAUCAUAUGUUACAGUCAACGUGAAUUUUUACCAUCAAUUUUAUUAUACAAGGAAUUUAGGAAAAUUGCUCUAUGCAGCUACUCCCCUGGGCACUUUAGGGUCAAAAUUUAAUGUGUUUGCAGGUCAAACAGCUCAUAUUCUAUAACGCAUUCAGUGUUGGUGGUCAUAUUAUUGUUUCUGUAGUUGUAGGCAGGAAAAGGUAUGAUGCUGUGUAAUUUUUUCUUUGCAUUUAAAAAUAUCUCUAAUAAUUUCUGAAGCUGGGUGAUUGGUAUAUGGGAGUUUGCUGUACUAUUUCUUCUACCAUUUUGUGUAUGGUUAAAAAUUUCCGUAAUAAAAAAUGUAUGUAUAUACAAAUCACUACAGUAAUAGCCUUGACUUGUGACCUGAAUCUGCUAAGGCAAAGUUGCUUUUAAAAUAUGUCAGAAUGCUAAAACUUAGAUGUGAAAAUUGUGUGUGUGUUUGUAUGAACCUUUUAUUUUAGAAUAGGAAACCUGGUAGUUAUGGCAAGCAAAACAUAGAAAGAUUGGCUUAAAAUUUUGAAUGGAUUUUGAGAAAAGGCUACUUUAUCCUUUGGGAGCCUUGUUUUUGUAAACAUUUCAUUUUUUGUGGGAUGUGAAUCAUGUGUUGGAAUCACCUGAUUUAGCUGUGGUAUAACUAAGUCUGGAGGGUUUGGGGGACACUCUGUUUUUAAACUUCCCCACCACCAAUCAUGAUUAUGGUUACAUGAGAUUUGUGUCUUAAAAAAAGAGAUCUGUGUUCCAAAGCUCUGGAAUUAUUUAAACCAUGUACUUUGUAAGCUCAUCUUUGUUCUGUUUGAGCCAUAAUGUUAUGUCUACUUUUACCACAAUCAUGUGUAUAAGGAACUGUCAGGUCAGGUCCUCUCCCAUCAUGCAACAGUGUAGAAUGUGCUUUACAAAGUCAAUUGAAAGCUCUCUUCUCCUUGCUUUAUGAAGAGGUCAAAGAUAAAUAUUCUAGUGCAUUUUUAAUAAAUGGAGAUAAUCACAUUGUGUUUUUUAGUAAGGAAAAAGUAUUAAUAAAAAUUUGGAAAAGAGUUACAGUGGGCCCUUGAAAACCUUUGUGGUUAAAAAAUGUGGUGCUAUUAUAUUUUUGCAAAUGUAAAACAUACAGAUUUUUAAUGUGCUCAGUGAGAUACAGAAAGUUAUUAAUUAUGGAGUGUUAAAUUCACAGCAGCCAGAUGUGCUUGAAUUUGCAUAAUAAAUAUUCAUUCUUUUGGAAA